GGACGCCGAAGGUGGGGCUGAUGACUGGGGUGAAGUCGUAACAAGGUAGCCGUACCGGAAGGUGCGGCUGGAUCACCUCCUAACAGGGAGACAAACAAGAUCGUGAUGUCAGUCGUUUUUGUACUGACCAUGAUCGUGUCACCUUAGGUCGAUCGGUACCUCAGCAUGACUUGCAUGAGUGAGUCAUGAUCAGUUCCUGAACUUCGUCUAGGUCACCCCGCAACGGGUCCUCCUGGGCCAUUAGCUCAGGUGGUUAGAGCGCACCCCUGAUAAGGGUGAGGUCCCUGGUUCAAGUCCAGGAUGGCCCAUUCGUGAUUGGGGGUUUAGCUCAGUUGGUAGAGCGCCUGCUUUGCAAGCAGGAUGUCAGCGGUUCGAGUCCGCUAACCUCCACUGACGCUUGACCGCCGCGCGUGAGUGUGGAGGAAACGUAGGGUGACGAGACAGGUGGACAGCUGAGAAGGAAUUCAGCAUUGUUCCAUGCCUGAGAGGGUUGGAAGAAUGCUGGACUCUGCCUGGUUGCGCAAGCGAUCAGAGUUUAGUUCAGCGGAACCUUGACAACUGCAUAGGUGAGUCUGGAAACAAGCAUCUCAUGGAAGGUGUUCUGUUGACGGCUUGGGGGAUAGCGAUCAGCGAAGCAAUUCGCUGAUCAAAGUUUCUAAAGUUGAGAACGGAGCAUCAAAUUCUUGAGUUGAGUCUCCAUGAGCUUCAUCAGAGAUGAUGGAGCGGAAUGGUCAAGCUACAAAGGGCUCACGGUGGAUACCUAGGCACACAGAGGCGAUGAAGGACGUGAUUACCUGCGAUAAGUCUCGGGGAGCUGGAAGUACGCUUUGAUCCGGGAAUUUCCGAAUGGGGCAACCCCUAGUACGACCAUCUGAAUCCAUAGGGUGGAACGAGCCAACCCGGCGAAC
rnacentral:misc_RNA from 1 species